rnacentral:tRNA from 1 species
GGGCCGGUAGAUCAGCUUGGUAGAUCGCCUCCUUGGCAUGGAGGAGGCCGCGGAUUCAAAUUCCGCCCGGUCCACCA